rnacentral:ncRNA from 1 species
CAAGUUGUGAUAUCAUUGUGAAGCAGAAUUCACCAAGUGUUGGAUUGUUCACCCACUAAUAAGGAACAUGAGCUGGGUUAGACCGCUGUGAGACAGGUU